AUGAAAAGCAUCCAUAGUAAAGUGCUACAGGACAUAAACUACGACAACAUGCAGCUGCUCCAGCAAAAGUGUGAACCUCUUGAGCAUCAGCAGAAAGGAAAACACAACCUAAUAUACUAUUUUAGCAACAGCUGGUGCCAUAGCCUCGGUGGAGAUCACAUGCCAGUGAAGGAACUUUACUAUAUAAUAGAUAGCAACUUCACAGCCGGAUCAACAUCCAAAGACAAUGAUCUGAAUCAUAUUUUGUCGCAAGUAAGAUAUGUUGUUGAUCGUCUCAGUGAUACAGCCACACAAUCAGAUUAUGAUCUCCAAUAG
rnacentral:rRNA from 1 species